CCCCCCCCCUGUGACCGAGUGACUUUCAUGAUUACCCCCAAACCCGUGGUGGCUGGAGCUGGUUGUCAAACUGUAAGGAGGCUAGGCACCCCUGGUGAGGUCCCGUCACUUGCAUUUUCACAGGUUAAAGACUUUUUGAAGUAAAGAGGAGCAUCUCAUCUGAACCUGAUGUCUAUCAUGGAUAUUUAACUGCAGUUCUGUGAGUAUCCCAACUUAAUCAUGAAGAUGAACUGCAAACUGUAAGUCAUAAGUUUCUCACUACUCUUGGGCACAUUGAUGUAUUUGGCUUCCUGAUGAGUUAACCCGUUACCUGAAGGUUGAUCUCAGUAAUAAGGAUGUUUUAUUGGUUCAUGGGUUACUUAGGUGUUUGGUUUAUGUUGGUUUUAAGGAUUUGUUAAAAUGGUUGCAGGCUCCAAGUUAUUGUUGUAAGCUGGAGUAAUGGGUUGGGUUCUGAUGUCUUCAGUCUUCUUUCCAGCUACUCUCCUGAGCUCUGCAUCUUCAUCACAUGAGUGUUGCUUUGCUGAUGAGGGUGUGGUAUGAGUGAGCAGAGGUGCAUACUGGGAUACAGAGCUGUCUGAAGUCUAGAGGGCUGUAGAAACGCCCCCUCAGGGGUAACCGAGUGUUUGAGAAACUGUCGUGACGUCAGUUACAUGGACUGGAAUGUUCUUAAAGAUGGAGACAGGGGUUCAGAAGAAGAAACACCAGGGAGAGAUGAGGGGGCUCCUCAUCUCAACGACUAAAACACAACUUCAGUCUGACACGGAACCAUGGAACACAUUCAACAGUCCCCUCCAGCCAUCGUGACUCCUCAGGAACGGUUUCAUUUCCAAGAAGGUCUUAUUUGGGGCCAUCCCCAUAUGGAUCCUGCUCCUCAAGAGCCACCCCCCUCCACUGGGUGCUCUUCUGAACAGAUGACCUCCUUCCUGUCCUCAGGCUGACUAAAGCUGCACCGUUUGCAUCUGUGAAGGCCCCUCAUUCAGGAAACCACUGGACUACAAAGACAUGACUUCAGAGAUGUUGAAUCAACCUGGGAUUUUGGAAGACGCCAAGCAUAAUCCAUCACCAAUGUGGGACGCCACUGAAGAAUGUUGUACAUAAUUUACGUCUCUGGAGACAUUGGUUGUUCUGUUAUGGUUGCCCUGGCAGGAGAGCUGGGGUGGGGGGGGGAGGGUGAUGGAAUGUUAUUUGGCAUGAGGUUUUGACCCUGCAUGAUUGUUUGGCCUUUUAUGGCUCAGUGAUGUGCGUGCGUGCGUGUGUGUGUGUGUGUGUGUGUUUGGGUUUGACAUGAGAUGGAAGAUUUUUGAGCAUCACUAGGGUUCUACUGUGUGUGUGUGUGUCUCCCACUCACACCUGGCAUGGGGUUCUACGUGCCUGUCCUGGGUUCUGUGUGUGGCUUGCUUUGACAGUGAUAAUGUUCAUACGGGGGUUUGUGUGAUUUGCUUGGGAUAUUGGAAUGGGCAACUAAAUCAUACCUGAUGGACGGCCACACAUUUACUUAAGGGCCUCCAGUAGACAUGAAGAGCCCUGAGCGAUGCUCCGGAGAGAGAUCCAACACACUGGGCAGGAAGGAGAGUAUCCAAAUCAAGGGUAAAAGGAUGCAAGCGGCGUGUUCAGAUCAGUGACUUCAAACUAGGACUACACCAAUCCGGAUCAAUGGAGGAUGGACACCAAAAGGAAUUCUGACGUUGGAAAGAGUCUGACGUUGGAAAGGGACCUAAAUGGAUAUUCAAGAUGACCUUCAGACCUGUAAUGAGACGGCUCUUCCUACCAGCCUGGAUUGAUGGAGAGCCCUGUGGAUCUUGUCUUGCUCUCAGUUGCACGUCUUCUCAGGCUGAACUCUAAUUGUCUCGGACAGGACUAGCUGAACGAUUGGUUCCCUUAAAUCAGAACCAAUCCGGGAACUCCAGCUAGUGCGCUCUUCGAGCUGAAGUUGUGCUCUUCAGCUGAGGAGGUAAGGAAACCUUCACUGGGGCUUCAAGAUGUAAAGAGGAGAAUUUUUCAAAGUGUUCCAUGGUACUCUGAUGAAGACCGUUGGUGUGUUCCACUGGCUGAGAGGAAGAACCCAGACAUCUUCCUCUUGGCCUUUCUCCUCUCAGAAUCCUGGCGCCAUCUUGAAGGAUAUUCCAGCUCAUGUAACUGAUGUCACGACAGAUUCACAAACACUUGGUUUCUCCUGAGGGGCGUUUCUAUAGAACUGAAGACUUCAGACAGCACUGUAUCCCAGCAUGCAUCUCUGCUCACUCAGACUACACCCCCAUGAGUAGGAUGCAACAUUCUAGUGAUGGAGAUGUAGUGUUUUAUAAGUAACGAGGGAGCAGACUAAGGGGAUUAGAACACAAUGGCAUGUCAAGUCUGUAAAUCUUUAAACCAUGAAGAUGGUUGGAAAAGUCAGGAAUUGGGCUUAUUUUUAAUAUGGGCAGUCCUUUCACUCGGAUGCUCACUUCUCACUGGAAAUGUACAUGCGUUGGCUGGCUGGCAUGAUUUGCUGUUGGUGAUGAGGUGGUCAGGGUGACGUUGCAGGGCUAUGGUCGGCUCUCUGUGAGCUCAACGUUUAGAUUUUCUCUGUAUGGUUUGGACCCUGAAUAAUCUAGAUAAUUGUAAAAUGUAGACACGAUUUUGCAUUGAAUGAUUCCAGGAUUUUAGGUUUAAAGUUGUUGUACAUGGUAGUUUAGUUCUUCGUAUGGUUUUGAGUGAUUAUAACUUGUACACACUGGGUGCAUAAUGUAAUGUUACACUGAAUAGUAUUAAUGACCAACAGCAACAAAAAGAUCUCCUCAAGGUAAGUCUGUUGGCUGUAUUUUAAUGAAGACCAUCGCUGGACUUCAGGAUCUUCCUCCGUUCAGCUCAAGGUGAGGCGCUGGUUAUUUUUCUUUGGUUGGUUCCGGCCGGAAUGUUCGGAUUCCAGUCGGACGGUUUGUGCUUCCCGCCGUGGAAGGUUCUGAGUGAGGUCACUUGAUUUAGUCCCAAUGGUUAGCAUAGAAAGUUGUAGUCUUGACAACCAUAAGAAACCACCUGGCAGUUAGUUGGACGGGAGUCCCCUAAGGGAAUCUGGCAGAACGUUCUGGAUUGUAUUUGCGUAACCUCGAGCCGUUGGCAACGGAAACUAUUUUUCAGUCGGUUUCCAUUGGGAAUUGUUGCCCUCUAUCUCAAACAACUUAAUUUCCGAUGGUUGCGCCGUACUUUUAACCACGUUGACGGGACUCUCGCUGCGUACAAAACGGCGUUCUACUUGUGGCCAAAUUUUUGACAUCGGUGAAGGCUGAAAAUCAUUUCAAGGUGGAAGACAAUUUGACAUUUCUUCAAAGGAACCCAGCACCUGAAUGAGUUGAGUAAAUUUGAUUUUAAUAUUGAUACUGCUUAGUGUUCAUUGUUACUUCACCUUUUGUACGUUCUAAAUAUAUGUUGUCAUUAAUUGCCACAGAACUUUGCCACCCAGAGCAAGACCUCCACCUCCUUACCCAGAGCCAGACCUUCACCUCCUGUCAGAAGUCCUCCAGAACAGCACAAAGGUGAGGCUGAGAGGCUUGGGACCGGAGGCUUGUGGUGCCAGGAUGGACCUGAGGCUGGAGACCAGGGGCCUGCGGUACUGGACCAGAGGACCAGGAAUCCAUGGCUGAAGGAGCUGAUGGAGGAGCCGCGCUGAAGGCCCUGCCUGGUGGAGGAGCUGAUGGAGGCCCUGCCUGGUGGAGGAGCUGAUGGAGGCCCUGCCUGGUGGAGGAGCUGAUGGAGGCCCUGCCUGGUGGAGGAGCCAUGCUGAAGGCCCUGCCUGGUGGAGGAGCUGACGGAGGCCCUGCCUGGUGGAGGAUGUCUGUCGUGGGGACUCUGGUUUGGAGGAGAGCUGAUGGGGAGCUGAUGGGGAGCUGAUGGAGGAGCUGAGUCGCUGGAGGACGACUAGGAAUCGACCAACAAGGAUUCCUCAACGUGUUUCUGGAGCAGAGGGGAGCUGGUAGGGGAGCCGUUAAUCUGGAGGAUGACCAUCACUCUACCAACAAGGAUUACGUUGGGGCCAGACUCGCGCUGUUUGUUCCAGACCAGGACUCUGGCUGAGGAGCGCUGAUGGAGGAGCCAAGACUCUGGAGGACGACAUCACUCUACCAACAAAGAUCCUCAGACAAAUUACAUUACCAGACCAGGAAUCUGGAGGACUGACGGAGAAGCCGUACAUCUGGAAGGCAAAUCCUGAGGAUGACCAGGACUCUACCAUCAAGGAUUCCUCACACACCUGAGCUGAACCUCACCUGAUCCUGUUUGGUCGGGGGAAGACGCACCUGAGCUGAACCUCACCUGAUUGGUCGGGGGCAGACUCACCUGAGCUGCACCUCACCUGAUCCUGUUUGGUGGGGGGCAGACUCACCUGAGCUGAACCCACCCUGAUCCUGACAUCCUGCUGGUCCCGUCUCCUCAGUUCAUCUGAGCCUCGUCCUCCAGAAGACCUGCUGAGCUCAGCGGUCUGAGGCUGAUGGAUCAAUGACCUCCAGUGGGAGUGAUCUUCUUGACCCCACAUGUAGCCGUGUGCUUCCACACGCCUUUCCCUCACGUCUGCCACUAACCUCACUACUUCACUACUCUCUACUGCUUCCUCUUUUCUUCCUUCUCUGUGGUUCAAACCUUUUAUACUGAAGGCGCGUCUUCCUGCCCUCAGAGGGUUUAGCGUUAGGGUUGAGAGUCAGGGUUUAGAGUCAGGGACAGAGCUGGUCAGGGAGGACUGCUUUUACACAAACCUCUUCACUUGCUUUCGGAAUGGUGGUGACAUUUUGAAAAGAUUCAUUGGGGAAAAUGUUUUCCUCUGCUUUCCUUUACAAAUUGUAUUCAACUUCUGUCAAGUGUUUUUGUUUAUAUUAAAAUCCCACAUUGACUUCUACAUGUUUGUUGCUGUUCAUUUAAUUGUCCUUUAACUUGGUUAAUGUCAAGCUAAACUCCUGCAAUACAUUUAAUAUACAUGAUUGUUAUUCUGCAAUGUUCACAUAUUCCAUUUUGAAAAAAUAUGAAACCUCCAUAUUACUACUAAAUUCAAG
ensembl:lncRNA